rnacentral:rRNA from 1 species
CACGUAGGACGCAAGCGUUAUCCGGAUUUACUGGGUUUAAAGGGUGCGUAGGUGGGUAGGUAAGUCAGUGGUGAAAUCUUCGAGCUUAACUCGGAAACUGCCAUUGAUACUAUUUAUCUUGAAUACUCUGGAGGUAAGCGGAAUAUGUCAUGUAGCGGUGAAAUGCUUAGAUAUGACAUAGAACACCAAUUGCGAAGGCAGCUUACUACAUAGUUAUUGACACUGAGGCACGAAAGCGUGGGGAUCAAACAGG